UACGAGGGGUCCUAGCGUUGUUCGGAAUCAUUGGGCGUAAAGGGUGCGUAGGUGGCCAUUCAAGUCAGUUGUGAAAUCCCCGGGCUCAACCCGGGAAGUGCUUCUGAUACUGUUUGGCUUGAGUACUGGAGAGGAUAGUAGAAUUCCAGGUGUAGUGGUGAAAUACGUAGAUAUCUGGAGGAAUACCGGUGGCGAAGGCGGCUAUCUGGCCAUGUACUGACACUGAAGCACGAAAGCUAGGGGAGCAAACAGG
rnacentral:rRNA from 1 species